rnacentral:rRNA from 1 species
GAUGAACGCUGGCGGCGUGCCUAACACAUGCAAGUCGAACGGAGCUGCUUUGAUGAAGUUUUCGGAUGGAUUUAAAACAGCUUAGUGGCGGACGGGUGAGUAACGCGUGGGUAACCUGCCUCACACUGGGGGAUAACAGUUAGAAAUAGCUGCUAAUACCGCAUAAGCGCACAGUUCCGCAUGGAACGGUGUGAAAAACUCCGGUGGUGUGAGAUGGACCCGCGUCUGAUUAGCCAGUUGGCGGGGUAACGGCCCACCAAAGCGACGAUCAGUAGCCGGCCUGAGAGGGUGAACGGCCACAUUGGGACUGAGACACGGCCCAAACUCCUACGGGAGGCAGCAGUGGGGAAUAUUGCACAAUGGGGGAAACCCUGAUGCAGCGACGCCGCGUGAGUGAAGAAGUAUUUCGGUAUGUAAAGCUCUAUCAGCAGGGAAGAAAGUGACGGUACCUGAAUAAGAAGCCCCGGCUAACUACGUGCCAGCAGCCGCGGUAAUACGUAGGGGGCAAGCGUUAUCCGGAUUUACUGGGUGUAAAGGGAGCGUAGACGGCAAGGCAAGUCUGAAGUGAAAGCCCGGUGCUUAACGCCGGGACUGCUUUGGAAACCGUUUAGCUGGAGUGCCGGAGAGGUAAGCGGAAUUCCUAGUGUAGCGGUGAAAUGCGUAGAUAUUAGGAAGAACACCAGUGGCGAAGGCGGCUUACUGGACGGUAACUGACGUUGGGGC